UUUCAGCAGAGAGAGAGAGAGAGAGAGAGAGAUGCGUUCUUCCAGAGGUGUCAUUCGCCAUUCCGUGUGGUGUCUGGUGUUUGUAUGGUCAUGGCGGGUUGCAGCAGCUCAGGAUCAACAAGCACCAAAAACUGAUCCAGUCGAAGCGGUGGCCCUGAACACGAUCAUGAGGAGAUGGGGCAAGGAGGCAUCAUCGGAGUGGAAUGUUAGCGGUGAUCUCUGCAGCGGUUUCGCCGCUGACAAAAACGACUGGGAUUACUAUCCCAACAUCAACCCAUUCAUCAAAUGCGAUUGCACUUUCAGCAACAACACACUAUGCCGCAUUACAAAACUGUACGCACACUCUCUUUGGGCAACACCUAAUAGCUCAAGCACAUUUUUUUAUAGGUAUUACUUGUCUGUUGUUAUGAAGGAGGGUAAAUAAGUUGGACGUGGUUGGUCAAAUACCUUCAGAGCUACAGAAUCUCACCCGUCUAGAGAACUUGUAUGGUAUCUAAGUCUUUUUCUUCUUAACUAGUCCUGCUACUAAAGUUACGUUAUAGAUCAAGUUUUUCACAGACUAAAAAUUCAAUCACACAAAUUCUCUUUGUGAACAGCAGGGUACAUUUCAGUCAGCCAUGCAACAUCCUUUUUAUGUUGGCUAAUUGUUCUACUUUUUUAUGUUGUUUUCAGGGACUUGAACUAUAAUUACUUGACUGGUUUCAUUCCAUCAUUCAUCGGAAAAUUCACUUCGAUGAAAUACUUGGCAUUGGGUUUCAAUCCACUAUCUGGACCACUUCCAAAGGAACUUGGAAACCUCACCAAUCUUAUUUCAUUGGGCAUUAGCUUAAACAAUUUCACAGGUGGCCUUCCUGAAGAACUAGGCAACUUGACCAAACUUAAGCAAUUGUACAUUGAUAGUUCUGGAUUCAGUGGUCCGUUCCCUUCAACGUUCUCAAAACUUCAGAACCUGCAGAUCCUGUAUAGUCAAAAGCAUAGCCUCAGCUGUUAUAUUCGUCAUGCUUUCAUGAUAAAUGACAUUUUGGUGUGCUUGCAGUCUAGCAUCAGACAAUGGAUUCACAGGGAAAAUACCUGAUUAUUUAGGUAGCAUGACUAAUUUGGAAGAAAUGUAAGAUUAUUAAUAUUAACUUAUUAACAUAUCUCAUAUGUUCUAUCCUAUUUUUGAGAGAGAUGAAUUUGUGCAAGAUAAAUUAUUCUGUAUAUCAUGUUCUUUCCAUUCAGACUUAUAAACAAUAGAUUUGCUCCGCUCCAACAAAAAGUAUCUCGAGA